rnacentral:rRNA from 2 species
GAUGAACGCUGGCGGCGUGCCUAAUACAUGCAAGUCGAACGAGUUCUUGUUGAUGAUCGGUGCUUACACCAAGAUUCAACAUGGAACGAGUGGCGGACGGGUGAGUAACACGUGGGUAACCUGCCCUUAAGUGGGGGAUAACAUUUGGAAACAGAUGCUAAUACCGCAUAGAUCCAAGAACCGCAUGGUUCUUGGCUGAAAGAUGGCGUAAGCUAUCGCUUUUGGAUGGACCCGCGGCGUAUUAGCUAGUUGGUGAGGUAAUGGCUCACCAAGGCGAUGAUACGUAGCCGAACUGAGAGGUUGAUCGGCCACAUUGGGACUGAGACACGGCCCAAACUCCCACGGGAGGCAGCAGUAGGGAAUCUUCCACAAUGGACGCAAGUCUGAUGGAGCAACGCCGCGUGAGUGAAGAAGGCUUUCGGGUCGUAAAACUCUGUUGUUGGAGAAGAAUGGUCGGCAGAGUAACUGUUGUCGGCGUGACGGUAUCCAACCAGAAAGCCACGGCUAACUACGUGCCAGCAGCCGCGGUAAUACGUAGGUGGCAAGCGUUAUCCGGAUUUAUUGGGCGUAAAGCGAGCGCAGGCGGUUUUUUAAGUCUGAUGUGAAAGCCCUCGGCUUAACCGAGGAAGCGCAUCGGAAACUGGGAAACUUGAGUGCAGAAGAGGACAGUGGAACUCCAUGUGUAGCGGUGAAAUGCGUAGAUAUAUGGAAGAACACCAGUGGCGAAGGCGGCUGUCUGGUCUGUAACUGACGCUGAGGCUCGAAAGCAUGGGUAGCGAACAGGAUUAGAUACCCUGGUAGUCCAUGCCGUAAACGAUGAAUGCUAGGUGUUGGAGGGUUUCCGCCCUUCAGUGCCGCAGCUAACGCAUUAAGCAUUCCGCCUGGGGAGUACGACCGCAAGGUUGAAACUCAAAGGAAUUGACGGGGGCCCGCACAAGCGGUGGAGCAUGUGGUUUAAUUCGAAGCAACGCGAAGAACCUUACCAGGUCUUGACAUCUUUUGAUCACCUGAGAGAUCAGGUUUCCCCUUCGGGGGCAAAAUGACAGGUGGUGCAUGGUUGUCGUCAGCUCGUGUCGUGAGAUGUUGGGUUAAGUCCCGCAACGAGCGCAACCCUUAUGACUAGUUGCCAGCAUUUAGUUGGGCACUCUAGUAAGACUGCCGGUGACAAACCGGAGGAAGGUGGGGAUGACGUCAAAUCAUCAUGCCCCUUAUGACCUGGGCUACACACGUGCUACAAUGGAUGGUACAACGAGUUGCGAGACCGCGAGGUCAAGCUAAUCUCUUAAAGCCAUUCUCAGUUCGGACUGUAGGCUGCAACUCGCCUACACGAAGUCGGAAUCGCUAGUAAUCGCGGAUCAGCACGCCGCGGUGAAUACGUUCCCGGGCCUUGUACACACCGCCCGUCACACCAUGAGAGUUUGUAACACCCGAAGCCGGUGGCGUAACCCUUUUAGGGAGCGAGCCGUCUAAGGUGGGACAAAUGAUUAGGGUG